rnacentral:rRNA from 1 species
UACGAAGGGUGCAAACGUUGCUCGGAAUUAUUGGGCGUAAAGCGCACGUAGGCGGCUUGGCAAGUCGGAUGUGAAAUCCCUCGGCUCAACCAAGGAAGUGCAUCCGAAACUGCUGAGCUUGAGUACUUAAGAGGAUCGCGGAAUUCCCGGUGUAGAGGUGAAAUUCGUAGAUAUCGGGAGGAACACCGGUGGCGAAGGCGGCGACCUGGGUAGAUACUGACGCUGAGGUGCGAAAGCGUGGGGAGCGAACAGG